rnacentral:tRNA from 1 species
AAGUCCAGGGUCUGUAACGACCUUUUAUUCGAAUUUGCACUUCGGGCUUUCUGGGCUUUCGGGAAUGGGGA